UGCACUUGAAACCCAAAGUCAAAAUAGUUCUUUCAGCAUAAAGAAAAACAAGCAGCUCUAAUUGCAGCUGGAGUAUUGAAAUUUUCAUUACUCCUACAUGACCCAGCCUCAUUGAGCUAUCAUUAAGAAGUCUCCUCCUUUCCCUCCUCUUGAGAUGCCAUUGCCUCAUCAAGUGGGGACUUUGAUUUGAUAUUUUCUUCACUGACGAGAGAAACAGUACGUGAACUAUUCAUCAUAGUAGUAUGUUUUUGUGAUUCAUCAUCUGGCUCUACUGUUCUGGUGUCCUGAUUUUCUUUGACAGUUUCAGCUUCAUGGUGGUGAUAAACUUGAGAAUUGGACAGAAGAAGAGAUGGGGUAGCACCACCCAGCCCUUUGGAAAGACAAACAUACUUGAAAACCAGCUGUUUGUAAUUAUUCAGUAGGUCUUCUACAUCACUGAUCAUCAGAUCACCGGUAUUAGCAAACAAAUAGGGGUAUUCUCGAAAGACUAUGCUUACCAGAUCCUCCUUCAAAAGCAUCGAUGCUCCUUUAUUCUCUAUAUCUGAGAGGGAUGGAACCUUUGCCAUGGAUGACUCAUCUUUCACGUAACGUAUGUUGCCAGAUCUUGUUUCAGAAGACUUGGAUCUAAUAGACAAUUCCCUUUCCUUACUAGAAUCUAAAGCUUGAAGUUUGGAUUCUAUAAGUACUGUUUUAAGAUUAUUUUCUACCUUUUGAUCACUUUGAUUAGACUGACUAUCCAAAUCAGUUGAAAGCCCAGACAGAAGAGCUCGAGCAGAUUCCAUGUUCUUUUCAAAUUCAGUUUCC
rnacentral:misc_RNA from 1 species